UGGAAAGGUGCCAUCUGCCUCUACAGGAC
rnacentral:piRNA from 1 species